GCUGGGCGGUGGGGCGUAGGGGGAGGGGGGCCUGGGCAGCAGGGCUUUUCCCCUGGCCGAGAAACCAUGGACUAAAUUCUCCCCGGGCAAUCCACCAGCGCAUUUGGAGGCCCAAGAGAUAGGGGCAGCCCCGCCCUUUCCACGGGUGAGGCUUCCAUGCCUGGUGAGGUCAGGGAGAAAACCCUCGUCGCUUGGUCUCGCGAAUGAGAGGCGGCGGUGACAAGAUCAAGAACUCCUCCGCCCUUCUUCGUCCAACGCUCCACCGUCCCUCGGCCCUCCUCCAGCAACUGGAAGCGGCGCACCCCCAUCUCCCUCCACCUCUACACUCCAACCCUCUGGUGGGGGCGACGGCGACCGAGUUAUGUCUCAAUGCAUGCGAGAGCUUUAAGUAUAACCAUCCAAGCACAGUGGUAUGUCUUGGUGCAUCUUAAACUUUGUUAUCUUGAUAAGUGCUCUCUCUUGUUUAAUGAAUAUAAUUUAUCUUCUGUUUUUUGGACGUAGGUUCGUAAUGAAAAUGUAGAGGAUUUUCUUUCUUUGCUAAUGGAAUGAUCUGUCCUAUAUGACAAGUACGUCCAUAAAAAUAGUGGCGUUGCCUCAACUAGUUUGUUCGAGGAUGAAGGGAAGACCAUGAGCCUGCAAAAAGCAAGCAUGUCGUGGAGAAACUUAGCGUGAUCUGCUAUGGUGGCGCUCACAGAAAAACAAUUUGCAUAUACUUCAAAGUACUCCUCAUUCUAAUCUUGUUCCUUUGUAGCGUUGGUAUAUUUGUUGUUUCCGUACGUGUCAUCCUAAUAUAAUUUUUUAAUAAGUGCAAUGGAAGGACGAUCAGGUCGAGGAUUCCUAGGAGCCCAUGGAGAAACUCCGGUUAGUAUCUAAUCUGAAGUUAUUCUUUAAAAAAUGUAUUUCAAGUGCAAUGAGUCCUUCAAUGUUCAACGCUUUCCCACUUAAAAUUAAAGAAUUUGUUCAAAAAAGCCAUAGGUGAAAAAUCGUACUACUACCGGUGAGUGCUUGAUAUCUUCUUUUUUCUUGAUAAUUUUGGCUAAACACCAGAUUCACUGAUGGUAAUUAAUUGUCCUGUCACAUUUUGUCCUGUCACAUUUUAAAGGGUGAUGUUGAUGGCUCAAUCCUUGACAGGGCGGGCCACCGGACAACACAUCAACAUCACCCUUUAAAAUGUGACAAGACAAUUAAAUACCAUGUGUUUAGCCAAAAUUAUCAAGAAAGAAGAUAUCAAGCACUCACCGGCAGUGGUAAGAUUUUUCGCCUAUGACCUUUUUGAACAAAUUCUUUAAUUUUAAGUGGGAAAACGCUGAACGUUGAAGGACUCAUUGCACUUGAAAUACAUUUUUUAAAGAAUUACUUUAGAUUAGAUACUAACCAGAGUUUCUCCAUGGGCUCCCAGGAAUCCUCGACCCGAUGGUCAUUCCAUUGCACCUGUUAAAAAAUUAUAUUAGGAUGACAUGUACGGAAACAACAAAUGUAUCAACACUACAAAUGAACAAGAUGACAAUGAGGAGUACCUUGAAGUAUAUGCAAUUUUUUUCUGUCAGUGCCACCAUAGCAGAUCGCGCUAAGUUUCUCUACGACAAGCUUGCUUUUUCCAGGUUCACGGUCUUCCCCUUCAUCCUCGAACAAACUAGUCGAGGCAUCGCUAUUAUUUUUAUGGACGUACUUGUCACAUAGGACACCAUUCCAUUAGCAAAGAAAGAAAAUCCUCCAUUUUUUCAUUACAAACCUACAUCCAAAAAAACAGAAGAUAAAUUAUAUUCAUUAAACAAGAGAGAGCACUUAUACAAGAUAACAAAGUUGAAGAUGCACUAAGACAUACCUCUGUGCUUGGAUGGUUAUACUUAAAGCUCUUGCAUGCAUUGGUAUUAAGAUCUACAACCCAUCGCUACAAAUAUCAACAAAUUGUUCUCUAUCAGCCAAUUGAAGAGCUAUCUGUUUUGAAAGUGCCCAAUGAAUCGAGAGAUUUUCAUCAAUACCAAGAACCCAAGGCUUAGGCUUUUUUGGUUGAAGGAGGAGAUUGCUGCAAUUGAGAGAACAUAAGCCAACAUCAAGUUGUGGUACGCGAUGUCGAUGAGGAGUGGAGAAAAGACUUAAGUUGGACUAGUGACCGUCGCCUUGCAGCAGCGCAUAUUGUUCGAUAGUGUCCCUGCCUUGACAUGGCAACUUGAUAAUCCAGAACUUUUUAACCAUGAUCCUAGGACCGAUAUUUGAACCAUGGUGAAGGGAUGAAACAAAGGAAAUGUGGCAGGGAGGAUUUCUAAAGGAAAUGGCCAUGCUUUAACUAUGGAAAGAGAAGGGAUGCAGAUGGAAAAGCACGAAGCCUUGCUUCAGGACAAAGCGGCAUGGGGAGCUGCGACACAUCUCUUGGGGCUGAUCCUUCCGGUUGAGGCCUCGAAUGCUGAACGGCGUGGUUCCCAAAGAUUGAAGCAAACAUGGAUGAAAUUCACUGUGGCGUCCUGUAGGUUGUCUGGUCGUUUAAGCUUUCCUUGUGCUUCCACUGAGCUGUAGAACUGGGUAAUCAUGUUGGCUUUACCCUGAGAACCUGAAUGUUUAUGAACCUUUGUUCCAUUGCAUCAUUGGCUGCAAUGGAACAAGGAGUUCUGCUCCUAUCUUCCUAAAAAGGGGAUAGGAAGAUCAGCCGGACAAGAUCUCGUGACAUUGGACAGCUGAUGGCUCUUACAUGGCGGCAUCUGCAUACAAGAUUCAGUUCAUGGGAAGUACAUCCUCAAACCUGAAGGAGCUCAUCUGGAAAACUCCAGUACUGGCAAAGCAGAAGCUCUCGGCUUGGCUGUGUAUUCAAGAUCGCUGUCUAACAGCGGAUAAGCUCGCCAAGAGGGGCUGGCAGCAUGACCCCAUCUGCUCACUCUGGAAGUGUCAGCCGAAGACUGCUGCACAUCUUCGCUCACUGCUCCUUCUCGGCUGAGGUGUGGAGAUUAGCCUUUGCUACUUUCAACUUCCCCCUGAACCUGAUCCCCAGCGUGAUGAUGCCGUCUUUCAGGAAGUGGUGGGAGCAAGGUUAUGCUGUCUUGGCCUCAAACGAGUCUGAACAGAAAUGCUCUGCUCCGAUUACCCUGGUUUGUUGGUUCAUUUGGACUGCGCGGAUCUUUGAUGGGGUGGCCUGCACUGCUGCUCGGGUAAUGUGCAAGAUUGAGGAAGAACUGUCGGAAUGGGGAAGCGCCCGGAUCAGGGGUAUGCUAUUACUGUCGCCUAUUCAUCCAUGAUGCACACAAUAUGGUCUGAUUGCCUAAGAAGAUGCCGUUGAAAGGAGCUACUCAGAGUUAGGUGGAAACCUCUGUGAGCUCCUACUCAAUGCUACUAGUGUUUACUGGAUAGCCUUUGGCCUAGGUUUUUCCCCAUGUUGAGCUAUGUCAUGUAUCUCUGUAACAUUUCUUCUCCCUUAAUAUAAUGAAAGCAGCGCUGCUGCUCUUCGUAAAAAAAAAUUGGGAUGUUUUCUUGACUGAAUUCAGUGGAUCAUGAUGUUUCAAGUUGCAUAUCCUUUUAUUAGAUAAUGGAAUGAUAAAUGCGAUGGAGAUGACCAGUUUGUAUGAUGGAAAAGGACCCUUUAUGAAUCUGCAGAUGGCAUGGCAUCUUUGACACAUGAAAUUGGUGUUGCAUUUUCUCUGUCUUCUUAAUUCCAAGGAUGUGGAAGCCCAAGGCCAGUCAGAAGUUCACUGUUGUUCAGACUAUUUUCAGGCUGUGGGCAGUUUGCUAUUUUUAAAUAUCUUGGUCCAUGCUGUAAUGAUUCCCAAUAGGCACCAGUGAUGAAUUUCUGUGGAGAACUAAUGAUUCAUGAAGGAGGAAACUUAACCUUGAGGACAAAAGGAGUAAUGGUGUAGAACACUAGUAAUGCAACGGCAAAUCCCGCGAACAAACUUAUCUGAAAAUAAAAAUGGAAAAAACAAUACAAAGCAGCUGUGAGUUUCCUGUCAAGACAAUUGAAUAAUGUGUAUUGCAGAUAAAUGAGUCAAACCAUAACUAUACUUUGGUACCAUUGUUGGAGACCAGGCAACUGCUUCUAGGCUCUUCCUUUCGAAUAUGAAUCUGAUGUUUUGUCAGGUUAAGUUGUCACAUGAACAGAAGAGUAUGGUCAAGACAUUUCUGUUCCAGAAAAAACAUAGUGAUAUUUUAACUACGUGAUUACAGAGCAAAUUUAUAGAUGGCAAUAUCGACAGAUUAUGAAAGUUUUUUCUCUGCUGAUCUGCUAUUAAUAGUGAAUUGCGGAGAGGAUACAUCUGAAUUGCACUGACAAACAGGCCAAAUAGUCCAAGCAUCGCGAUAAGCUCUACCCGAUCGUUCUUCUUGACACAGUAUUCCUACAUAUUCAAGGGAAGUGUUAAACUUAUGACAAUUUUGAGAAAAUAUUGCUGGAUAGUAGGAAGAGACAUAUAAUGGCAUCACAAACCUCUCCAACAUUGCUAAAUGCAAAACAAACUGUCCCGGCAAUAACAAGGGCAUCCCCUAGAAGUGGCAUUUGACCCCCAUCUGCAGAAAAUGAAGGGUUUUGUAAGCUGCUAGCACUUACCCAAGCUAUAGAAAUUGUGAGACGAUUCCAGCUUGUAUGGGUCUUAAAGUUUGGUUUUCAUUUGAGCACGUCAUACACCUGUUCUUAUUGCCAGUUUGCUAUGUUAUUCAGCUGUAAAUUUUUGAACAAGAUUCAACAGUGAAUAUGAUCUCCUGGACUACUGUACGAUCGCGAUUUCUUCUAAAGAAAGAGGAUAAGCAUGAUACAUACUAUCAAGAACUUCAUCCUGUGUGUAUCUUACUAGAUUUUGCAUCUGAAAGGAGCACAAGGCCUAGCCCUGCCACGCAGGUCCCCGCCCCCACAAAUUGCCAGAAGGAGUAUCUUGUGCCCAGUGCGUACCAGGUGAGUAUGAUGACCCAUACAACGGUCCAGCAGUCCAACAACGUUACGCUGGUGAUGGACGAGUACUGAUAGUUCCCCUGGACAUCGACGAAGGCCAGCGCCAAGUACCAGUACCAAGGUAUCUGCAAGACAGGAGUGGCGUAGAGAGUGAGGAGGCGUGUGAAACUAAAACCACACAAGGUAAGUUUCAUGCUCACCCGUGGCUUCUGCCGUCGGUGCAAGAGGAUCGGCACAUAAAUCAGAGUCAACAGGAGGUAGGCGAAGAAGGAUUGUGUGAGAGGUGUGUUAACUCCUGCAUAAUAUACAUGCGAUGGGUGAUUCGUAAUUGAGUGUUCUACAAAGAUUCACAGGUACUGGGGGAAAUGAUAAUUUGGAUGGUUAGGCUACAGAGACAGUGAGAAGGGCGGGUACCGAGAU